rnacentral:rRNA from 1 species
ACGAACGCUGGCGGCGUGCCUAAUACAUGCAAGUCGAACGGUCUUUCUAUGGAAGCUUGCUUCCACUGAGAAGAUAGUGGCGAACGGGUGAGUAACACGUGGGUAACCUGCCCAUAAGAGGGGGGAUAACAUCCGGAAACGGGUGCUAAUACCGCAUAGUUUUCUUGAUCGCAUGAUCGGGAAAGGAAAGACGGCCUUUGUGCUGUCGCUUAUGGAUGGACCCGCGGCGUAUUAGUUAGUUGGUGAGGUAACGGCUCACCAAGACGAUGAUACGUAGCCGACCUGAGAGGGUGAUCGGCCACAUUGGGACUGAGACACGGCCCAAACUCCUACGGGAGGCAGCAGUAGGGAAUCUUCCGCAAUGGACGAAAGUCUGACGGAGCAACGCCGCGUGAGUGAAGAAGGUUUUUCCGGAUCGUAAAACUCUGUUGUCAGAGAAGAACAAGUUGGAGAGUAACUGCUCCAGCCUUGACGGUAUCUGACCAGAAAGCCACGGCUAACUACGUGCCAGCAGCAGC